ACAAUCUGAAUCAAUCUUACGUGAUCUGGAUCUACUACCUCUCUUCCUGUGGAAAACGAAUCUCUCUCAAAUUGGAUCGAGCGAGUUGGGGCAAGGAUCCGGUCUACUCAUGGCGCUAAAUUAUUUUCCGUUGUGUUCGAUCUCUACAUAAAGGACGAAGAUGUGUUUCCCUAAUAUCCAAUUCCCUAAUCCCUCAACUGUCUCCAUAAUAGACAGGAAAACGGUUCCAGGGAUUCUAUGGCGGCGCCAACGAUGGGGGGGCUGCUGUUGACUGCUCCCGGCCGGCGAGGAAGAAGGAGAGGUCGUGCCACCAAGCCACAAGGAAGAAGGAGGAUCACCGCGACUCCACCCCGUAGUGGCCGCUCCCACGGUCCGAUCCACAGGGAAAAAGAGGAGGGGUUGCUUCGACUGCUCCUGAUCGCUGCUUGCACCCUCAGUUUGAUAGGAUAAAACCAUCUGAUUCUUGCGGUGUUUCCUUGGCAAGACAUGUACAAAUAUAUAGCUUUGGUUUGACUUGGAGCAGAUGAGACUGAGCCGAUGAUUGCUUAUGCCUACAUAUGCAAUUUCGUUGGAAUUGACAGGCACAGGUGAGUUUGAUCUGAAGACAAUGGAUUGGUUACUCUCUCUUAUAAAACAUGCGGAUUUCUCUAUACUAAUUUCACACAGGUGAGUUUGAUCUGGAGACAAUGGAUUGGUUACUCUCUCUUAUAAGACAUGCAGAUUUCUCUCUACUAAUUUCACACAUUGAUGUUUAUUUGAACCUUGCUAUCGUCCAUCUCAUGCAUAAAGCAUGAGUGCAUGCCAAGUGUUGUAGCUAAUUACAGAUAAUUAUCUUCUGAUCUAUCUUUGCUCAUGUCUAAACUGAAUUGAUCAACCACCAGACUAGAUGGGUUCCGCACCACCAUAGACAUCCAGCAUGCCCAUGUGUAUGGCAUAUGCCAGCAUGCAACAAACGCCUCUCCCCGCAGGUAUGAAUAACAUGUAUGCAAAUCAAUUUUUUUCCAAUCUAAUGUUUACAUCUCCAAAUGAUGUUUGUUUUGCCUCCGAUUAACUUAUGUGCAGCAAGGUGCAUCAGGUAUCACGAAUGCAAAUAGUCUACCAAUCUAUGCAUCUCACAAUCUUUUCUUAAUUAAGCAUACCAAGCGUGCACUGGAGACAUAUUAAUAUACUGUAUAAGGUAAUAAAGGAAACAGGAACAUUGCUAUUUGAUCAUGCAACAGUGGCAGUAUACCAGGCUCUGCGUGCAUGUCUGCAUACUGCAUGUAUAAGCAGUUAAUUUUUCGGUGCAUGCUUACGCAUAUAUAUCACAAAAAGAUGUGGGCGACUUGGAGAAUGUCUUAACAUCGGAUGGAGUAGAAAUCUUUACAACUCAAGAUAUCACAACUUUGACAUACAGAAUACAUGUCCAUGUACAUUGAUAUGGUUCACAUGCACUCACCUCAGGAAUGUAAUACUUCAUGGGAACAACAACGAAAAAGAGCACAUUCAAUCAUAUUACGGGUACUAUGAUCCUUUGUCAUAUCAUCUAUCCUUUUCAAGAGCUGAACUGGGUUGGCAUAGGAAAAUCCCAAAGAGGGAUACACGAGAGGGAGGGGUUGUUAGUGGUGACAUGUAAUUAUUGUGAUGAAUAAUCAGGCCUUCGAUGGAAUUGUUGGAAGUUACUCACGUACUAUGUGUGGGCAUCAGGCCUUAGUGCCAUUUAAUUUUUGGCAUGAUAAUUUCAGGUCACCUAGCUCCCUCCAGGGUGUCUAUCAUGAAAAUCUACCAUCAAUUAGACCAGUAGUAUGUGUGGUUCAUCCAAAGACAAUUUCUUGAUCAUACUUGACCUAUACGUAUAUUUGAAAGAUUGUGUAAUUUUAAUUUUAUAGAAUAUCACCCAUAUAACUUCAUACAGCUUUUUUUCUAACUAAGUGCUAAUCUUUAUUGUAUUUAUCAUUGGCAUAUUUUUCCUUUCUCACUUUACUUUAUUAAUUUAUACUAUCACACUGGUUUAUUUCCCAGCCAAAGGAAACUUAACUAGAUGACACAGCUACAGUUGAUAUAUAUACUAUGCAUUCCAUGAUCUUCCAAUGCUCACUUUAUUUCACCAAAUAGAUUUCCUGGUUGGAAUUCUCUUGCCAUUGACUGUAUUUCAUGUAGUAUAAAACAACUACGUAAACCUGUACAUAGAAGUGCUCACUAACCUAUUGUCAGGGAAACAUGGUACUACAAGCUUUAUAUUUUAAGCUAAAUCAGCUAGGAAGAAAUUGACAUACUUCAGAAUAUAGUACUAAUUAUAAAGAUUCAUAAAGUGCAUAAGCAUAGAAUCAUUCUAUAUGUUAGGUAACAUAAACAAUAUGAAAUCAUAAUGAAAGUAAGUUAAAUAUAAAUUAGUGAGGCAUCGCAAAUAUACACAAAAUAAAAAUAAUAAUAUACAACAUAAGUAUAAAUGCUUUUUAAUAUAUCAAUACCAAAAUUUAAAAUUACAAGGU